rnacentral:rRNA from 1 species
CCCUUAGAUGUUCUGGGCCGCACGCGUGCUACACUGAGUGGGUCAGCGGGUCAGGUUGCGCGAAAGUGUUUCCUAAUCUUUAAAUCCGCUCGUGAUGGGGAUUGACGGUUGCAAUUUUCCGUCAUGAACGAGGAAUACCUUGUAAGCGCGGGUCAUCAUCCCGCGCUGAAUACGUCCCUGCCCUUUGUACACACCGCCCGUCGCUCCUACCGAUUGAGUGGUCCGGUGAGGCUUUGGGAUCUGGGCGGAAAGAGCGUUUCGCUGUUUCUGCCCGGAAAACUCAGUCGAACCUUAUCAUUUAGAGGAAGGAGAAGUCGUAACA